rnacentral:tRNA from 1 species
GGAAGGCGAUAUCACCCGGUGGUGCUGCCAGUCUUCAAAACUGUGCUGUCCUGUGAAUACAGGAGAGGUGGGUUCGACUCCCUCCGCCUUCCGCCA